rnacentral:misc_RNA from 1 species
GAUGAAGAACGUAGCGAAAUGCGAUAAGUAGUGUGAAUUGCAGAAUUCAGUGAAUCAUCGAAUCUUUGAACGCACAUUGCGCCCCUUGGUAUUCCAUGGGGCAUGCCUGUUCGAGCGUCAUUUGUACCCUCAAGCUUUGCUUGGUGUUGGGUGUUUGUCCUCUCCUUUGCGUUUGGACUCGCCUUAAAGCAAUUGGCAGCCAGUGUUUUGGUAUUGAAGCGCAGCACAAUUUGCGAUUCUAGCCGACAACACUUGCGUCCAUAAGCCUUUUUUUAACUUUUGACCUCGGAUCAGGUAGGGAUACCCGCUGAACUUAAGCAUAUCAAUAAGCGGAGGA